rnacentral:rRNA from 1 species
AGUGAACGCUGGCGGUAGACCUAACACAUGCAAGUCGAACGGCAGCACAGUAAGGGCUUGCUCUUACGGGUGGCGAGUGGCGGACGGGUGAGGAAUACAUCGGAAUCUACUUUUUCGUGGGGGAUAACGUAGGGAAACUUACGCUAAUACCGCAUACGACCUACGGGUGAAAGCAGGGGAUCUUCGGACCUUGCGCGAUUGAAUGAGCCGAUGUCGGAUUAGCUAGUUGGCGGGGUAAAGGCCCACCAAGGCGACGAUCCGUAGCUGGUCUGAGAGGAUGAUCAGCCACACUGGAACUGAGACACGGUCCAGACUCCUACGGGAGGCAGCAGUGGGGAAUAUUGGACAAUGGGCGCAAGCCUGAUCCAGCCAUACCGCGUGGGUGAAGAAGGCCUUCGGGUUGUAAAGCCCUUUUGUUGGGAAAGAAAAGCAGCAGGUUAAUACCCCGCUGUUCUGACGGUACCCAAAGAAUAAGCACCGGCUAACUUCGUG